GAAAUAGUCUAAACCGGUUUACAAUGUCUAAGAGAAGAAUGAACCGUCAUUGAACUGGUAAAAACUGCCAUAAAACAAUUUGACCAGCCUUCUAAACAUCUGAACUGGACUGUGGACUGAACUCGCCUGAAAUGUGCUGGACUUGCUUGGAAAAAGGCUGAAACAGACUGGAGCAAAGGCUGAAUUGGCCGGAAAUGUGCUGAACCGGUCUAAAAUAGAGAAAAACAACUGUUUGCUAAAGGAAGACUUCCGGCAUAAAAUGGUCUGUAAGAAGACUAAAAAUUUCAGAAAUUUAGGCUGGAAAACAAAUUAGCACCAUGUGGAAAGUCUGAAUUUCAUUUCGACGCCUCGAUCAUUAUUAAGGGACAGGUAUAUAUACACAUUUCUCUCCUACAUCUAAACAUACUGACACAUGAUUAAGCCUACAAUUAAGCCUAGUCCAUUACAUCUGUGAUAGCCAUAAUUAUAGCAAUUGACAACCAUAAUUACAGCAAUAAAAUAUAUGUUUUCCACAACAUGGAUGAACAGAUUUCAUCAUCUAUUCGUUUUGCAUAACGUACAUAAGCAACCUUUUUUUUUGUCCCCCUAUUUGGACAUCCCCAUCUAAAAACUGGCAUCUAUUUCAAUUUAUCUCUUUCUUUUCAAUUCAUAUCUGGCUUUGUCUGUAAUGUCCAAACUUUGGCCUAUCUGAGUUUGAUUGAGUUGAUUGAGUUGCUUAACGUCUUUUUGUUGCCAUAAGUUGUGAUGCAGGAGUACAGCUGGGUAUGGGAAGAUGGUGAUGACAGGUAAAUUUCACUUCUAUGUUGCUGUUACGAAGGGAGAAAAUGUGCUGGACAUUUUAGCUCAAGCCAUGUCUAUGCUUAUGAUAGAAAGUUCCUACUAAAAUUAUCCAUUUUUGUAUAUUGAAAGUCUUUCCAAUCUGUUAAAAAUUUGAUACAUCAACAUCCUGUUGUUGUGGUACCGAUUGAGGUUCCAAUAGAAUAAUAUGCUCGAUUUCCGUAUAGAGAGGGUUAGAAGGAAUUGCAUAAGUAAAAGAUUUCUUUUUGUUUAUUGUUGGGGGUACUGUUCACAGCUGUGAAAGUGUUGUGCGAAUCAGAAUGCAAGGGGUUUAAGAAUUCAGUGUGUUGAUACUUGGAGAACUGCCGGGAGCUGAUGGAAGAUGUGUAGAUUACAACAGUGACAAGGCAUUGGAUGGAAGAAGAUAUGUAGGGGGGAUCACUUGUCAAAUCUGAGACAGGAUAUGCCACGUCUCUUAUAGGAUACACCUUAGAUAACUCUCAUCCAUUUUUUGCUCCACUUUGUGUAAUGCAGUAUAUCACUAGUAGAGGAUGUCCUAUAGAAAUUUUAUAAAGGAUUCAUGUAAUAGUGUGACGAAGUUUUAACUUGCUAUCAAUUUACCACGACCAUCCUGUAUUUCGACUGGCUAUAACUGUACUUAGGAAGAGUUGAAGAGUGUCAAAACAUAUGGAAGAUAAUUGCUGAAAAGCUGGCUGGAGAUGCAAGAGCAUGUACGUACUGUGUUGCUUGAUGAGUCGGAGAAGAGAAGGGGUUCUGAAGUGGCUGUAAGUAUUAUGCCCUAGGUCCAAUCGACUUUGAACAUAAAUACUUUUAUAUAUAAUUAAUGCAAUUAAAUGGCAGAUCUAUUAUUUAAUUAAUAGACAAUUAAAUAAAUAAUAGAGUCCGUAGAUUCAAAUAUUUGUAAUUUAUUAAUCACAAGGAGUUGUGAUUGUGAGAUACAAAUUACAUCUGAUUGAAUCUUAAAUCAUCCGUGGUCGUAAGUAAUAACGAGAUACGGAUAUCGUUAUUACGGAUAGACCAUCACGUGUAGCAUUUCUUACUUGUGAAGUAAGUAGC
rnacentral:lncRNA from 1 species